CAAUUCAAAGUAGGUUGAACUAUGGUAUUAUAGACUUGAGCAUUUUAACUAUGAUAGCUUUUGCCAUUUCUUACCAAAUGAUAAAGUCAAAGGUAUUUUCUAAUUCAAAUUCAUGAAAAAAAUAUGCAAAAAAUAUUUAGCAAAAAAUAAUUUUUUAAAUAAUUUUCAAUAAAAUCAACUAUUAACUCUGUUGUAAUACGUGAAGUCUUGCUUAAGAAUGCUCCGGACACCUGGCUGUGGAAGGAAGAAUGGAAAUUAUAAUAAUAAAAUCCUAAUUCUAAUAGAAUACUAACAAUGCUCUAAUUAGAUUAGAAUAAUGCUAAGUAAGCUUAAUCAAAUUCAAAAAAACCUCAAAGAAAUUUCAAACAAAUAAUAAGAAUUCUUAAAGAAAUAUUAAAAGGAUCACAAAUAUCACUCAAAUACAUCUCAAUUCAAUCUUAAUUUAAUUCUAGUUAAAAUCCUAUUGAACUUCAUUCAAACUUUAGGCAAAAACUAAUUGAAUCUUAAAUCCUAAUAAAAUCCUAAAUCCUAAAUCAAACCCUAAACAAACCUUAAAUCAAACUCCAACCAAAUCUUAAACCAAAUCUUAACCAAACUCUAAACCAAACUCUGAACCCUAAAUCAAAUCCUAACCAAACUUUGAAUCCUAAAUCAAACCCUAAUCAAACCCUAAUCAAAAUCUUAAACCCUAAACCAAAUCCUAAUCCAAACCCUAAAUCCUAAAUCCAAUCCUAAUCAAACCCUAAACUCUAAAUUAAACCUUAACCAAAUCCUAAAUCCUAAAUAAAAUCCUAACCAAAUCCUAAACCAAAUCCUAAUCCAAAUUCUAAACCCUAAACCAAACCCUAAUCAAAUCCUAAACUCUAAAUCAAACCCUAAUCCAAACCCUAAAUCCCAAACCAAAU
rnacentral:lncRNA from 1 species